rnacentral:miRNA from 1 species
AGACAUCAAGAUCAGUCCCAAA